GAAACUAACAAGGAUUCCCCUAGUAGCGGCGAGCGAAGCGGGAAGAGCUCAAAUUUAUAAUCUGGCACCUUCGGUGUCCGAGUUGUAAUCUCUAGAAAUGUUUUCCGCGUUGGACCGCACACAAGUCUGUUGGAAUACAGCGGCAUAGUGGUGAGACCCCCGUAUAUGGUGCGGACGCCCAGCGCUUUGUGAUACAUUUUCGAAGAGUCGAGUUGUUUGGGAAUGCAGCUCAAAUUGGGUGGUAAAUUCCAUCUAAAGCUAAAUAUUGGCGAGAGACCGAUAGCGAACAAGUACCGUGAGGGAAAGAUGAAAAGCACUUUGGAAAGAGAGUUAACAGUACGUGAAAUUGUUGGAAGGGAAACGCUUGAAGUCAGACUUGCUUGCCGAGCAAUCGGUUUGCAGGCCAGCAUCAGUUUUCCGGGAUGGAUAAUGGUAGAGAGAAGGUAGCAGUUUCGGCUGUGUUAUAGCUCUCUGCUGGAUACAUCUUGGGGGACUGAGGAACGCAGUGUGCCUUUGGCGGGG
rnacentral:rRNA from 1 species